GAUGAACGCUGGCGGCGUGCCUAAUACAUGCAAGUCGAGCGAAGCGGGGACGGGUGAGUAACACGUGGAUAACCUCCUAUAAGACUGGGAUAACUUCGGGAAACCGGAGCUAAACCUGCUACUUAUUGGUGGUUCCGGGCUGUAUUAGCUAGUUGGUAAGGUAACGGCUUACCAAGGCAACGAUGCAUAGCGGACCUGAGAGGGUGAUCGGCGACACUGGAACUGGGACACGGUCCAGAUUCCUACGGGAGGCAGCAGUAGGGAAUAUUACGCAAUGGGCGAAGGCCUGACGGAGCAACGCCGAGGGAGUGAGGAAGGUCUACGGAUCGUAAGUCUCUGUUAUUAGGGAAGCGGUAACUAAACAGAAAUCCACGGCUAACUACGUGCCAGCAGCCGCGGUAAUAA
rnacentral:rRNA from 1 species